rnacentral:rRNA from 1 species
AGAGUUUGAUCCUGGCUCAGGACGAACGCUGGCGGCACGCUUAACACAUGCAAGUCGAACGAGAGAAGAGGAGCUUGCUUUUCUGAUCUAGUGGCGGACGGGUGAGUAACACGUGAGCAAUCUGCCUUUCAGAGGGGGAUACCGAUUGGAAACGAUCGUUAAUACCGCAUAACAUAAUUGAACCGCAUGAUUUGAUUAUCAAAGAUUUAUCGCUGAAAGAUGAGCUCGCGUCUGAUUAGCUAGUUGGUAAGGUAACGGCUUACCAAGGCGACGAUCAGUAGCCGGACUGAGAGGUUGAUCGGCCACAUUGGGACUGAGACACGGCCCAGACUCCUACGGGAGGCAGCAGUGGGGAAUAUUGCACAAUGGAGGAAACUCUGAUGCAGCGAUGCCGCGUGAGGGAAGAAGGUUUUAGGAUUGUAAACCUCUGUCUUCAGGGACGAAAAAAGACGGUACCUGAGGAGGAAGCUCCGGCUAACUACGUGCCAGCAGCCGCGGUAAUACGUAGGGAGCGAGCGUUGUCCGGAAUUACUGGGUGUAAAGGGAGCGUAGGCGGGAUCGCAAGUCAGAUGUGAAAACUAUGGGCUUAACCCAUAAACUGCAUUUGAAACUGUGGUUCUUGAGUGAAGUAGAGGUAAGCGGAAUUCCUAGUGUAGCGGUGAAAUGCGUAGAUAUUAGGAGGAACAUCAGUGGCGAAGGCGGCUUACUGGGCUUUAACUGACGCUGAGGCUCGAAAGCGUGGGGAGCAAACAGGAUUAGAUACCCUGGUAGUCCACGCCGUAAACGAUGAUUACUAGGUGUGGGGGGACUGACCCCUUCCGUGCCGCAGCAAACGCAAUAAGUAAUCCACCUGGGGAGUACGACCGCAAGGUUGAAACUCAAAGGAAUUGACGGGGGCCCGCACAAGCAGUGGAGUAUGUGGAUUAAUUCGAAGCAACGCGAAGAACCUUACCAGGACUUGACAUCGUAUGCAUAGCUCAGAGAUGAGUGAAAUCUCUUCGGAGACAUAUAGACAGGUGGUGCAUGGUUGUCGUCAGCUCGUGUCGUGAGAUGUUGGGUUAAGUCCCGCAACGAGCGCAACCCUUACUGUUAGUUGCUACGCAAGAGCACUCUAGCAGGACUGCCGUUGACAAAACGGAGGAAGGUGGGGAUGACGUCAAAUCAUCAUGCCCCUUAUGACCUGGGCCUCACACGUACUACAAUGGCUGUCAACAGAGGGAAGCAAAGCCGCGAGGUGGAGCGAACCCCUAAAAGCAGUCUUAGUUCGGAUUGUAGGCUGCAACCCGCCUACAUGAAGUCGGAAUUGCUAGUAAUCGCAGAUCAGCAUGCUGCGGUGAAUACGUUCCCGGGCCUUGUACACACCGCCCGUCACGCCAUGGGAGUCGGUAACACCCGAAGCCUGUAGUCUAACCGCAAGGAGGACGCAGUCGAAGGUGGGAUUGAUGACUGGGGUAAAGUCGUAACAAGGUA